GGAAACCGGAGUACCCGGAGGAAACCCCACGAUGACAUGGGGAGAACAUGCAAACUCCACACACGUGUGACCCAGGCGGAGACUCAAACCUGGGUCCCAGAGGUGUGAGGCAACAGUGCUAACCACUGCACCACCAUGCCGCCCCCUAACUUCCAGUGCCCUCCAGUGCCGGGGCUAUGGGUGUGAAUCUUCAGAUCCUUUCCAUGAUCUGAUCCGAAGCCUGCAGCGGAAAUGGCUGAUGUGACAGUGGAGCCGUAAGGAUAAGAAUGAUGUGGACUUGGAAAAUGACACGAUGGAGAAAUCCUUCUGAAAUCGGAUGUUCACUAAGCACCACCGUUUUAUAGCAGUUUCCAUCCUGCCUUUUAAAUGUAACUGCUAAACAAAACAGGAGAAUCUAAUACUAUGACGAGUGAAUGAAAGCCAUUUCUUACACUGACAGCACGUCGUUAUACUAAAACUGAAGGACUCUUGUUAAAGAGGGCUUACAAUUUAACGGACAACAGCAAACAAACAAGCUUCAUUUGCCAUUUGCACAAGUACAAGUACAUAUACAUUAGAAUGCUUCAUUUUGCCGACUCCAUCUAGCUCUCCAUAGCUUGGGGGUCACAGCGCAAUUUAUUCAUAGCAUUAGAAGGAACUCUAAAAACAGAGGCUGACUUGUUAAGUAUGACCCUGAAUGAGGUCAUCUGGUGGUAACUGUGCCAUACCAGGGUACAGGGGCAGAGUGGCCACCCCCCCACCGCAUGGCACUCCCAGUGUGUCUGUGUGUGGAUUAUGUUUAUAUAACAAUGUGGGGACUAAAUGACCUGUUAUUAGGAUACGGGGACAAUUUUUCAGGUCCUCAAUAAGAUCUGUGAAUGUGAUCAAAAAAUUCAAAGUGCCAAAAGUCUCACAUUUUGUUUAGUUACUUAUGGUUAAGGUUAGGGCUGGGUGGGGGUUAAUGUCGUCAUGUUGGGAUUAGAGUUUUCCCCAUAAAAAUAAAUGGGGAGUCCCCACAAAUAUAUAAUUGUGAACGGGGGGGGGGGUCUCGUACUCGGGCUCUGGCUGAGGGGCAGCCAGUCAGCACUCGAUUCCCGUGACUAUCAUAGCAGCUGCACAAAGACCUGCUCCUUUUAAAAGCCCCGUAAAUCUUCCCAGUGUAGUGCUGAAGGUACAGACAGCUGGGAUUAUUCCUGAAACAUGCAUUGGAUCACUGGGCUGAUUUCCUUUGCAUUAAAACUGAAACAAUUAACUCAUAAAAAUAUGAAAAGAACAAAAUGAAAUAUCAAAAAAAGCAAAGCUGACAAAAUUACUUCAAAACUUAAGUCAGAAUUUAUAUGAUCAUACAAGACGGAUACUGGAAUUAUUAUUUGUUAUAAUCUUUUUCCAACAGUGAUCUACUAUUCAAAAUAAAUGUCAAAAUUUGUCUGAAACUGGACAAACUAGGAGGUCAGUAACAUACAUGAGAAAAGUACGUGUCUCCUGUCCUCUGCCACUUCUUUGUGAAGGGACUGGGCAUCCUGCACUCUGUGGGCUUUGUUUGGCUACUGAUCAUCAGCUUAAUUUCUGUAGGAAAAUUCAGACCCAAGUGAUGUUGUGGCAGCAGCUAAUCUAUUCUCAUAGGCCUUUACUGGAACUGAAUAACCAGUUAUAUAUACUAUCUAUCUAUCUAUCUAUCUAUCUAUCUAUCUAUCUAUCUAUCUAUCUAUCUAUCUAUCUAUCUAUCUGUAUGUCUAUCUGUCUGUCUGCCAUCCCUCCAUCCAUCCUUCCAUCCAUGAAUCUAUUUUUAAUAACUGAUUAUUUACAGGAUUACAAGGUACAGGAUAUAAGCAAAUUUUAAUUCUGUCUCAUACAUAUAUGCUCAUUCAUAGAGAUAUAGAUAAGGGGAAGUAUAUCACAUGAAGCAAAUAUUAUGAAAAUAAUAAUUGUUUAAAGCAAGAAGUGUAUGAAAUCUUUCAACACAGUACAAUAUCUCUGUAAUUAUAACUGGAAAUUGAUCCUGGAGGUGUAGCAGGUACACGUCUUAUCACUUCUAAUUAUGAGUACUACAGUAUAAUACAUGGUGCAUUUUACAUAGUCAUAUAGUACGUCAGCACCUUUUUUUGCAGUGGAAAUGGGAUUUACUUCUUUGUCACACAGCCACAGUGCAGACGGCCCUCCCUGCAUCAUCUCCUGAAGGUCCACAAAAAGCCACCAACUGGCAUUAGGUUUGCUCUCAAUAGGAGAGCAAAAGGAAAUGGCCGACCUGCAUGUCUGUCACUGCCCAGCAGAUGCGGACAUGUCUUAUCCGCUUGUCCUUUAAAUGGCGACUGGGGGUGCUGUCAAUGCUAAAAUAUUGAGCUGUACCUUUGACAUUUUUUAAAUAGCAAAACUUCCAGCGGGAGGCACCCUGACUGCUUUUCCCGUCAUCGCUUGUACUAUAAACGGUGCUAUGCAGAGAGCGGCACUUUGGUCAUUUCCAGGAUAUUCAUCAGAGAGCCUCAUGACAAUCAGUCUAAAUGUAUGCGCACAGCGUCUUCGUUCUGUAAGUGUAUAUCUCUGCAUCCAAGCCAGCUGGGAGCACAGACAUCUACAUGAUCAUAUGCCAGGCAUACUCUUAGGCUUCUGUACUCUAAAGAGUCAUUUAGCUGGUCUGAAAUAUGAUGCAGAAGAAACGCCCACACAUACUUUAUGUGCCUUAUAAAUCAGUAUGCUUUUGUAACCAUGUAAUCGACAGAUUUAUAAGAUUGACUGUAUAGUAUUAAAUAGUUCUGUGAGACAGGGUGGCAGUUUAGCAAAAUACAUGAGCUAAUUCAUUACGGAUUAAACAGUUUACAGGGCUCUUCAAGUACAGUCAAAAAAAGUGGCUUCUUGGCUUGAGAUCUACAUUAACGUCCUGAUGUCCAUUAGUGUCAAACACUAAUGCCAGUUCCUGCGGACACACUGGUCACCAUUGUCUCUGACUUGGGACAGCAUGUUUUUAUCUACCUUGUGGCCAGUUGACAGUGAUAAUAAAUGUAUUCUUUACUUUUAGUGAUGGGUACGAAGGAAGGAAAAGGAAACUGAUGCGGAGCAAAAGAGCACAGCAGAAAAUAACUCGGUGUAACAUUAAUCCCAGAGACAUGCCUCAAAAAAUGUCUGCUAUGAGAGCAUCUUACCAGCAAAGCAGAGAAUCGUCCAGAUUGCUGCUAAGAAUAGAGCCCUGGGAGGCCAGGGGGCCCGAGGGAAUGUCCAGUAAAUAUUGAUGAUUCAUGGGCUGAAACCACUGUAUGACUUCGGAUGAGCAAGAGUUUCUGAUGAUUCAGUAACUGGGCUGUGAUUUCAAAAAGCCAGAAUGAAACCCUAACUUCAGACAUAGAUACCUACUGGAUAUAUAGAUUUCACCUGACUUUAUAAGAUCAGGAUACGAGUGUUUUUUUUAAUGAUAAAUAUUACUUUAAAUCUGUUCAUUAGCUAAACUCUUUGUUUUUUCCCUUUAUGAGAAAAGCUUGAAUUUGGGGUACAGUGAUGUGCUGUGGGUGGCACUGAAAGGGCUCUUUUGCCAAAGGAACAUGAAGUACAAAGGACACAAUCUGCAGGGAGGGCAUUUGGCUGGAGUCCUCUGGUAACUAAGCCUGUAGCGCAGCUGGAAGAACACAGCGUAAUAAUCGGGGAAUUACCGCUGUUAGUCACACAAAAUAUGUUACGCUUGUGAGUGAGGAGCUGGGGACUGGGGCUCAGGAAGCCGACCUAUCAUUUACAUCCUCUUAGUGAUGACUUCCAGUCUUUUUUCCUAAAACUCAUGGUAAACUUUGUAUGUUAGUCAUAGUUCAACCUUUUAAUAUCAAAAGUAUCUAUCUCAGUGUUUUUUUGAAUGACCAAUGGAUUUUGGCUUAACUGGAGCCUUUAGCAGUAAUACGUGCAAGACAGGGGGACACUGGACAGGAAACACUACUAGACCACUAGACCUCAAUACACAAUUUUGGACCGUGAGAGGAAACCAAAGUAGAGAACGGAAAGCCAUGUAUGCAAACUGAAGAGGGGCCUGAUUCAAACUUCAAAUCCUGGAGAUACGGGCAAUAGUGCGACUCACAGAGGUGCUGAGCAUGCCGAACUACAGCCUGCAUUCUACUUCUGUAGGUUAUACUUCCAUGGCGCUGAUAUGCCUUUCAUUAAGUUACGUUUUGACUAAUUAUCCAUCAAAUGAGGUUUUUUAUGCUUUCUAGGAAAAGUGGAAGGACCAGGACACUGGAAAACCCAAGUCAGUGUUCCUAACUGGGUGUGCCAUUCUGAAUCAAGGUGUAUAAGAUUCUAACAGGUUUGGAUGCUGUUCAACCAAAUAGUUACUUCAGCAUUAGUUCAAAUACACGAACUCGUGGCCAUAGGUGGAAAUUAGUGGGAGAAUAUUUCAAACUGGAUUUAAGGAAGCACUUCUUUACACAGUGCGUAGUCAGAGUAUGGAAUAGCCUUCCUGAUAAUGUAGUGCAAGCUGAAUCCUUGGGUUCCUUUAAAUCAGAGCUAGAUAAGAUUUUAACAACUCUGAGCUAUUAGUUAAGCUCUCCCCAAGCAAGCUUGAUGGGCCGAAUGGCCUCCUCUCGUUUGUAUAGUUCUUAUGUUCUUAUGUAAGAGAGGACCGAGAUAGAUGGGCUCAACACUAAAUGACAAAAAAGGCACAUGUUAACAUUAACUGAAAAAUUGAAUUAUAACUGAAUUAUUUAGUUCUACAAAAUUAUUCUCCAUUUUUUAAUAAUAAUCACUGUUCUUUAUAUUACAACAGAGCAUAAAAUUAAUAUGUACUGUAUUUGCAUUGUCUGGUGAUAAAAAUAGACCAAAAUGACGUAUUUGAUCUGUACGAUACCAUGAUUCUCAGCUCUAUAAUUAAUGUAUAACUGGACUUGUGAGUCAUCUGAAAUUUAUGGGAUGGAAAUGUCAACAGCAAGGACUGGCACCUGACUGGCAUUAAUGACAUUGUACAACAGCAGAUGUGAAUAAGAAAUGAAUCAGUUCAGAUAUUAAUAGAUUAUAUUCAAAUAUUUUGAGAUGCAUUAUUAUGUGUGGUGUUUGACUCUAACCUGCUUAUACAAUCAGAAAGUGGGAGUAAAAAGAAAUGAUCUCAUCAGACAUUCUGCCUAAAUUAGCUUCUCAUACCCAGCAUGGUACUAUAUCAGUUACAUUUGUUCAUUUAUGUUUAUUUCAUGUUGCUGAUCGUAAGAUGCUGUAUGUACCCCUAUACUCCUAUCUCUCCCUUCUACUGUAAAUGUAUUACAAGUGUAAACUUGCAUGGUCAAUAAAGCUCGCGCUGAUUCCAA